AUGGCGACCGGCGCACGGGUGAGUAACACGUAUCCAACCUGCUGAUAACUCGGGGAUAGCCUUUCGAAAGAAAGAUUAAUACCCGAUGGUAUAAUCAGACCGCAUGGUUUGAUUAUUAAAGAAUUUCGGUUAUCGAUGGGGAUGCGUUCCAUUAGGCAGUUGGUGAGGUAACGGCUCACCAAACCUUCGAUGGAUAGGGGUUCUGAGAGGAAGGUCCCCCACAUUGGAACUGAGACACGGUCCAA
rnacentral:rRNA from 1 species